rnacentral:rRNA from 1 species
CCAGACUCCUACGGGAGGCAGCAGUGGGGAAUAUUGCACAAUGGGGGAAACCCUGAUGCAGCGACGCCGCGUGAAGGAAGAAGUAUUUCGGUAUGUAGACUUCUAUCAGCAGGGAAGAAAAUGACGGUACCUGACUAAGAAGCCCCGGCUAACUACGUGCCAGCAGCCGCGGUAAUACGUAGGGGGCAAGCGUUAUCCGGAUUUACUGGGUGUAAAGGGAGCGUAGGCGGCGAUGCAAGUCAGAAGUGAAAGCCCGGGGCUCAACUCCGGGACUGCUUUUGAAACUGUAUGGCUAGAUUGCAGGAGAGGCAAGUGGAAUUCCUAGUGUAGCGGUGAAAUGCGUAGAUAUUAGGAGGAACACCAGUGGCGAAGGCGGCUUGCUGGACUGUAAAUGACGCUGAGGCUCGAAAGCGUGGGUAUCGAACAGGAUUAGAUACCCCGGUAU